GAACAGGAAUCGAGGAGUACUAAAAGAGGAAGAGCAUGGAAAGACCUGCAAUCAGAAAAGCUGGAUUUAAGUGAGGAAGAGUGAAAGAUAAACCUAACCCAAUGCAUCUACAGAAGCUACUCCUUGAAGAGUUUCACAACUCCUCAAGCAGAAAACAUAUUAGAUAAGGGAUAGCAUUAUCACCAGCAAAACGGAAAGAAGCUACAUCAGAUACCAGCACUAACAGAGAAUUGGGGUCAUCUCCUGGCUCUUGCCUCCUACCUCUGGAAGAAACCAUGGUUUGCUGUCAAACUGAAAGGAUUGAGAGCUGUAACUUGACAGUCCAGACACCUGCAACCAUGUCUCGCUUGGCACACGAAGACUUUAUAAAACCACGGCGGGUAACCCCGACGGCGGCGCGGUGCCGCUCUCCGCGGUGCUGAAACCCGCCGGGCGCUGCCCGCGCCGCGGCCGCACCGGGACAGGCGGGCUCUCACCUGUGCCCUCCCCACGGACGGAACCUGCUCCACGUGACACGCGGGCUGGGCUGCGUGGCUGCACUGCCAAUCACUGCAGCGUGUCCUUGGAUUAUUUCAACACGCAAACCUGAGCUAUGACUCUAGAUCCUGUUGCUGUCACUCACUGGCCUGAUCGCUCCCUGAUGAGAGGUGGCUCGGGUUAACAUUGAUCUGUGAUCUCGCCAGACUUCACCAUAUGGACAUCUCUUCUUAUGCUUAAGUCACAAGCACAGUUCUGUGCCUGCACGGGUCUAAAUCCUUCUGUGUACAAACGUCAUCUGUGGAGCACUUUGAACUCAGCUUUCUGCACCCCGAAGCAUGGCCUUACUUAAAGCAGUCCAUCACUCAUCUAUUCCUACGGCAGGGAAAGGCAAGAGGAAUAGCUGCACACUAUGGAUUGCAAAAUAAAUAAAUAAAUAAAUAAAAUAUUACUUGGA